rnacentral:rRNA from 1 species
GACGAACGCUGGCGGCGUGCUUAACACAUGCAAGUCGAACGGAAAGGCCCUGCUUUUGUGGGGUGCUCGAGUGGCGAACGGGUGAGUAACACGUGAGUAACCUGCCCUUGACUUUGGGAUAACUUCAGGAAACUGGGGCUAAUACCGGAUAGGAGCUCCUGCUGCAUGGUGGGGGUUGGAAAGUUUCGGCGGUUGGGGAUGGACUCGCGGCUUAUCAGCUUGUUGGUGGGGUAGUGGCUUACCAAGGCUUUGACGGGUAGCCGGCCUGAGAGGGUGACCGGCCAACUGGGGGAUGAGAUACGGCCCAGGCACCUCGGGGGGGGAGAGGGGGGGAAUAUUGCCAAAGGGGGGGAACCCUGAUGCAGCAACCCCGGGGGGGGGAAGACGGCCUUCGGGUGGUAAACCGCUUUCGCCUGUGACGAAGGGGGAGGGAGGGUAAUGGGUAAAGAAGCACCGGCUAACUACGG